rnacentral:rRNA from 1 species
CCUUCCGUAGGUGAACCUGCGGAAGGAUCAUUAUCGAAUAAUUGAGGAAAGAGGUAGAGAGACUGUCGCUGGCCAGACUAGUCUAGCAUGUGCACGUCCCCCUUGCCUUCUUUCUUUAUCUACACACACACCUGUGCACCUUUCGUAGAUCUGUUCCCUCUCGAAAGAGUGGGAGGAAUCUAUGUCUUUAUCAUAUCACACAUGUCGUAUGGCCAGAAUGAAACAAUAUAUAAUAUAUACAACUUUCAGCAACGGAUCUCUUGGUUCUCGCAUCGAUGAAGAACGCAGCGAAUUGCGAUAAGUAAUGUGAAUUGCAGAUUUCCAGUGAAUCAUCGAAUCUUUGAACGCAUCUUGCGCUCCUUGGUAUUCCGAGGAGCAUGCCUGUUUGAGUGUCAUUUAAUUCUCAACCAUCUCUCUUGUUUGAAGGGUAUGGAUUGGACUUGGGGGUUGCUGGUGGCCUGACCAUCAGCUCCUCUUAAAUGCAUUAGCGAUCGAGUUGGCUAGUCUUUUGAUGUGCACGGCCUUGGACGUGAUAAUGAUCGUCCUGGCUGGAGCGUCUUUCCUAGACUAUGUACAUAGAUGGCAUCCAAUAAAACAUGAAAGUAGGGGGCCAUGGGUCUGUCUCUCAAGCUUAGCUACUAGGCAGUCGAAAGGCUGGCAAACACAAGCAAGACAAAAGACAGAUCAUACCUUUCUUUCGAUUUAAGAGACUUGACCUCAAAUCAGGUAGGACUACCCGCUGAACUUAAGCAUAUCAAUA